rnacentral:ncRNA from 2 species
AUUGCGGCUGGCGAUGGAUCUCCGCCUAGAUCGCCCGUCAAGGGUUGUCUGAACCGCCCCAGCCCGGGGCUGAUGGCUCCUUUCCCUGA